CCAUCAAUGCGUUUUUCUUUUUCCCCCUCCCAACCACCGGUGUCUCUUCUCAUUCUUCUUUUUUUUUCCCUCUCUUCAUUUUCCCUUCUUAAUUUUCCUCGAUUUUGUUCAUUCUUUUUCGGUUUUUCCGUGCACAACUACAUUCUUCCUCUGUUAUUGAUGGCUUCGCCGCCCAUUUUGUUCACCCAAUGUUAUUCUCACCAAUCAAAAUUUGUUUUCUGUUUUUUUUUAAAACAAUUUGGUGCAUUUGUUCCCAAACCAUGAUUGUUUUUCUUUGAUUCUUCAGCUUCUGCUGUUUAAAAUUCAAAUUGUUAUGUCACUCCAUCUCUUCUAUAAAAGGGUUUGAUUUCUCAAGCCCAG
rnacentral:lncRNA from 1 species